rnacentral:rRNA from 1 species
AACGAACGCUGGCGGCGUGCUUAACACAUGCAAGUCGAACGGAAAGGCCCUGCUUUUUUGGUGUGCUCGAUUGGCGAACGGGUGAGGAACACGUAAGUAACCUGCCCUUGACUUUGGUGUAACUUCACGAAACUGGGGCUAAUACCGUAUAGGAUCUCCUGCUGCAUUGUGGGGGUUGGAAAGUUUCGGCGGUUGGGGAUGGACUCGCGGCUUAUCAGCUUGUUGGUGGGGUAGUGGCUUACCAAGGCUUUGACGGGUAGCCGGCCUGAGAGGGUGACCGGCCACCUUGGGACUGAGAUAGGGCCCAGACGCCUAUGGGAGACAGCAGUGGGGAAUAUUGCACAAUGGGCGGAAGCCUGAUGAAGAAACGCCGCGUGCGGGAUGCCGGCCUGCGGGUUGUAAAACGCUUCCGCCUGUGACGAAGCGUGAGUGACGGUAAUGGGUAAAGAAGCACCGGCUAACUACGUG